GACGAACGCUGGCGGCGUGCUUAACACAUGCAAGUCGAACGGAAAGGCCCUGCUUUUGUGGGGUGCUCGAGUGGCGAACGGGUGAGUAACACGUGAGUAACCUGCCCUUGACUUUGGGAUAACUUCAGGAAACUGGGGCUAAUACCGGAUAGGAGCUCCUGCUGCAUGGUGGGGGUUGGAAAGUUUCGGCGGUUGGGGAUGGACUUGCGGCUUAUCAGCUUGUUGGUGGGGUAGUGGCUUACCAAGGCUUUGACGGGUAGCCGGCCUGAGAGGGUGACCGGCCACAUUGGGACUGAGAUACGGCCCAGACUCCUACGGGAGGCAGAAGUGGGGAAUAUUGCACAAUGGGCGGAAGCCUGAUGCAGCAACGCCGCGUGCGGGAUGACGGCCUUCGGGUUGUAAACCGCUUUCGCCUGUGACGAAGCGUGAGUGACGGUAAUGGGUAAAGAAGCACCGGCUAACUACGUG
rnacentral:rRNA from 1 species